AUGAGUCUACUCCCCCAAACUACUGUUUUAAGCAUGAGCCCCGUCAGACUGGUCGUGGCGGAGGUGUUGCAACAAUAUAUAGUGAUAUUCUCAAUGUUCGCAAAUAACCUGCCUGAUCUAUCUCAACUGCUAUUUGUACCCAAAAAUACACAUGAAUUAGACAAAAUUACUGACAACAUGGGCACUAUUUUCUCUAAUACAUUAGAAGCUGUUGCCCCGAUCAAAUUGAAAAAGGUUAGAGAAAAACGUACUGUACCAUGGUAUAACAGUAAUACUCACUCUCUCAAGAAAGUAACUCAUAGUCUUGAAUGCAAAUGGAGAAAAACUAACUUAGAAGUUUUUAGAAUUGCAUGGAAAAACAGUAUGUCCAGCUACAGACAGGCUCUAAAAACUGCUAGGGCAGAGCAUAUACACAAACUCAUUGAAAAUAACCAAAACAAUCCAAGGUUUUUAUUGAGCACAGUGGCUAAAUUAACAAAUAACCAGAUGCCACCUGAUUCAAAUAUUCCACCAACAUUAAAUAGUAAUGAAUUUAUGAAUUUCUUCACUGAUAAAAUAGAGAACAUUAGAAAAACAAUAGCGAAUGUAGAUUCUACAGCGUCUAACACUUCAGUUUCAUCCAUCGCACCCAAAGAUAAACUGCAGUGCUUUACAUCCAUAGGACAGGAAGAGCUAAAUAAACUGAUCACUGUAUCUAAACCAACAACAUGUUUAUUAGAUCCUGUACCCACUAAAUUACUGAAAGAGCUGAUACCUGUAGCCGAAGAACCGCUUGUCAAUAUCAUUAACUCGUCGUUAUCUUUAGGUCACGUCCCAAAACCAUUCAAGCUGGUGGUUAUUAAGCCUCUUAUUAAGAAACCAAAACUAGAUCCUAGUGUACUGGCAAAUUAUAGGCCUAUUUCAAAUCUUCCAUUUAUGUCUAAAAUUUUAGAAAAAGUUGUGUCUGCUCAAUUGAGCACCUUCCUGCAUAAAAAUGAUCUGUAUGAAGAAUUUCAGUCAGGUUUCAGGCCCCACCAUAGCUACCAUUUUGUUUACUUAAAUGGAGAGUCAUCUCAUUUAUCAUCAGUAAAAUAUGGAGUGCCACAAGGAUCUGUCCUAGGUCCCCUUCUAUUUUCAAUAUACAUGUUGCCCCUUGGCAGUGUUGGGGCUAGUUACUCAAAAAAGUAA
rnacentral:lncRNA from 1 species